GACGAACGCUGGCGGCGCGCUUAAUACAUGCAAGUCGAGCGAGAACCAGGGCUUCGGCUCUGGGGACAGCGGCGAACGGGUGAGUAACACGUGGGUAAUCAACCCCCGACACCGGGAUAGCCCAGGGAAACUUGGAUUAAUACCGGAUGCCCCAUCUGGCUUUCGAGCCGGCUGGAAAAGGGUAGCUUCGGCCUCCGGUCGGGGACGAGCCCGCGGCGGAUUAGCUUGUUGGUGAGGUAAAGGCUCACCAAGGCGACGAUCCGUAGCUGGUCUGAGAGGACGAUCAGCCACACUGGGACUGAGACACGGCCCAGACUCCUACGGGAGGCAGCAGUAGGGAAUCUUGCGCAAUGGGCGAAAGCCUGACGCAGCGACGCCGCGUGAGGGAAGAAGGCCUUCGGGUUGUAAACCUCUUUCAGGAGGGACGAAGCCACUCGGGUUAAUAGCCUAGAGGGUGACGGUACCUCCAGAAGAAGCCCCGGCUAACUACGUGCCAGCCGCCGCAGUAAGAC
rnacentral:rRNA from 1 species